UAAAUACUCCCUCCGUCCGAAAAUACUUGUCAUCAAAAUGGAUAAAAAGAGAUGUAUCUAAAACUAAAAUACAUCUAGAUACAUUCCCUUUUAUCCAUUUUGAUGACAAGUAUUUCCGGACAGAGGGAGUAUUUG
rnacentral:pre_miRNA from 1 species